GACGAACGCUGGCGGCGUGCUUAACACAUGCAAGUCGUACGGUAAGGCCCUUUCGGGGGUACACGAGUGGCGAACGGGCGAGUAACACGUGAGUAACCUGCCCACAACUUUGGGAUAACGCUAGGAAACUGGUGCUAAUACUGGCUAUGUGCUCCUGCUGCAUGGUGGGGGUUGGAAAGCUCCGGCGGUUGUGGAUGGACUCGCGGCCUAUCAGCUUGUUGGUUGGGUAGUGGCCUACCAAGGCGGCGACGGGUAGCCGGCCUGAGAGGGUGACCGGCCACAUUGGGACUGAGAUACGGCCCAGACUCCUUCGGGGGGCAACAGUGGGGAAUAUUGCACAAUGGGCGCAAGCCUGAUGCAGCAACGCCGCGUGCGGGAUGACGGCCUUCGGGUUGUAAACCGCUUUCCGCAGGGACGAAGCUUUUUGUGACGGUACCUGCAGAAGAAGCACCGGCUAACUACGUG
rnacentral:rRNA from 1 species